rnacentral:rRNA from 1 species
AUGCAAGUCGAGGGGUAACGGAAGUAGCUUGCUACUAGACGACGACCGGCGCACGGGUGAGUAACGCGUAUGUAAUCUGCCUUGUACAGAGGGAUAGCCCAGAGAAAUUUGGAUUAAUACCUCAUAGUAUUACCGAAUCGCAUGAUUUGGUAAUUAAAGCUCCGGCGGUACAAGAUGAACAUGCGUGACAUUAGCUAGUUGGUAAGGUAACGGCUUACCAAGGCUACGAUGUCUAGGGGUUCUGAGAGGAUGAUCCCCCACACUGGUACUGAGACACGGACCAGACUCCUACGGGAGGCAGCAGUGAGGAAUAUUGGUCAAUGGACGCAAGUCUGAACCAGCCAUCCCGCGUGAAGGAUGACUGCCCUAUGGGUUGUAAACUUCUUUUAUAUGCAAAUAAACCUACUUUCGUGAAAGUAGCUGAAGGUAGCAUAUGAAUAAACACCGGCUAACUCCGUGCCAGCAGCCGCGGUAAUACGGAGGGUGUAAGCGUUAUCCGGAUUUAUUGGGUUUAAAGGGUACG